AUUGAACGCUGGCGGCAUGCUUUACACAUGCAAGUCGAACGGCAGCGCGGGCUUCGGCCUGGCGGCGAGUGGCGAACGGGUGAGUAAUGCAUCGGAACGUGCCCAGUAGUGGGGGAUAGCCCGGCGAAAGCCGGAUUAAUACCGCAUACGACCUGAGGGUGAAAGCGGGGGACCGAAAGGCCUCGCGCUAUUGGAGCGGCCGAUGCCGGGUUAGCUAGUUGGUGGGGUAAAGGCUUACCAAGGCGACGAUCCGUAGCUGGUCUGAGAGGACGACCAGCCACACUGGGACUGAGACACGGCCCAGACUCCUACGGGAGGCAGCAGUGGGGAAUUUUGGACAAAGGGGGCAACCCUGAUCCAGCCAUGCCGCGUGCGGGAAGAAGGCCUUCGGGUUGUAAACCGCUUUUGUUCGGGAAGAAAUCCUCUGGGCUAAUACCCCGGGGGGAUGACGGUACCGGAAGAAUAAGCACCGGCUAACUACGUG
rnacentral:rRNA from 1 species